GACGGAGGAUGCAAGCGUUAUCCGGAAUGAUUGGGCGUAAAGCGUCCGCAGGUGGCAGUUCAAGUCUGCUGUCAAAGACCGGGGCUUAACUUCGGAAAGGCAGUGGAAACUGAACAGCUAGAGUAUGGUAGGGGCAGAGGGAAUUCCUGGUGUAGCGGUGAAAUGCGUAGAGAUCAGGAAGAACAUCGGUGGCGAAGGCGGCCGGCUGGGCCGACCCUGACGCUGAGGCGCGAAGGCGUGGGGAGCGAACGGG
rnacentral:rRNA from 1 species